rnacentral:rRNA from 1 species
UACCAGACUCCUACGGGAGGCAGCAGUGGGGGAUAUUGCACAAUGGGGGAAACCCUGAUGCAGCGACGCCGCGUGUGGGAAGACGGUCCUCUGGAUUGUAAACCACUGUCCCCAGGGACGAAGAUGACGGUACCUGGGGAGGAAGCUCCGGCUAACUACGUGCCAGCAGCCGCGGUAAUACGUAGGUGGCAAGCGUUAUCCGGAAUUACUGGGUGUAAAGGGUGUGUAGGCGGGGCUGCAAGUCAGAUGUGAAAAUUAUGGGCUCAACCCAUAACCUGCGUCUGAAACUGUAGCUCUUGAGAGUGGGAGAGGUAAACGGAAUUCCCGGUGUAGCGGUGAAAUGCGUAGAGAUCGGGAGGAACGCCAGUGGCGAAGGCGGCCUACUGGGCUUUAACUGACGCUGAGGCACGAAAGCGUGGGUAGCAAACAGGAUUAGAUACCCCGGUAAG